ACCGCACGAUAGUAGUAAUAAAUUAGGGGAAGAUCAAAAUAAAAAAGAAAGUUAGAUAGAUCGAAGAAGAAGGAGCAGUAGCACUGGCAGCAACCUGUUCUCACUCUUGCAACUUGUUCCCACUGCCGACGCCAACAAAGAGACCCACAACUCAACCUUAAAACCUCAUUUGAAUCAACCCAUCAUUUGUUUCUGUCUACCAUCACCAAUAGUAAGAGACAGAAA
rnacentral:lncRNA from 1 species